AUGAACGCUGACGGCGUGCCUAAUACAUGCAAGUCGAGCGAACGGACGAGAAGCUUGCUUCUCUGAUGUUAGCGGCGGACGGGUGGGUAACACGUGGAUAACCUACCUAUAAGACUGGGAUAACUUCGGGAAACCGGAGCUAAUACCGGAUGAUAUUUUGAACCGCAUGGUUCAAAAGUGAAAGACGGUCUUGCUGUCACUUAUAGAUGGAUCCGCGCUGCAUUAGCUAGUUGGUAAGGUAACGGCUUACCAAGGCAACGAUGCAUAGCCGACCUGAGAGGGUGAUCGGCCACACUGGAACUGAGACACGGUCCAGACUCCUACGGGAGGCAGCAGUAGGGAAUCUUCCGCAAAGGGCGAAAGCCUGACGGAGCAACGCCGCGUGAGUGAUGAAGGUCUUCGGAUCGUAAAACUCUGUUAUUAGGGAAGAACAUAUGUGUAAGUAACUGUGCACAUCUUGACGGUACCUAAUCAGAAAGCCACGGCUAACUACGUG
rnacentral:rRNA from 1 species